AGUGAACGCUGGCGGUAGGCCUAACACAUGCAAGUCGAACGGCAGCACAGUAAGAGCUUGCUCUUACGGGUGGCGAGUGGCGGACGGGUGAGGAAUACAUCGGAAUCUACUUUUUCGAGGGGGAUAACGUAGGGAAACUUACGCCAAUACCGCAUACGACCUACGGGUGAAAGCAUGGGAUCUUCGGACCUUGGGCGAUUGAAUGAGCCGAUGUCGGAUUAGCUAGUUGGCGGGGUAAAGGCCCACCAAGGCGACGAUCCGUAGCUGGUCUGAGAGGAUGAUCAGCCACACUGGAACUGAGACACGGUCCAGACUCCUACGGGAGGCAGCAGUGGGGAAUAUUGGACAAUGGGCGCAAGCCUGAUCCAGCCAUACCGCGUGUGUGAAGAAGGUCUUCGGGUUGUAAAGCCCUUUUAGUUGGGAAGAAAGGCAGCAGGUUAAUACCUCGCUGUUUUGACGGUACCCAAAGAAUAAGCACCGGCUAACUUCGUG
rnacentral:rRNA from 1 species